UCGUUCGAUUGAUGGUUUGAUCGUGCUGGUCGAGCCGGGUCGCCAGCCUGUUAUAAAUUACCUUGCUCGUCGGGGUCGAUACACGAACACGCAGAUUCGCCGGUUGGAUUCCUUGAAUGAGGCAGUGGCUGGUUGGAGAUUCCUCGGCAGUCUUCCAAAGGUGUCUCGAUGCUGUCCUCGCCAACUUUGAACCCUGGGAAUAAUUCGGUUGAGCUGUUAACCAGCAAAUUCAUUUGAACAUUCAAAUAAAUGUGAAAGACUAAUUGAAAGCAUUCACACCGCACAGCAAACAGAAGAGUUGAUCUACCGGUAAAAUUCGCUGAAAACGGAACCUUCGCAAUUCCGAGUCUCCCGAGACCUGAUCGAGUUUCUCUACAUUUGUGCCACAAGUGGUUUUCCUGCAAAUCCCAUGGACUUGAAAGUAUAUCAACGCACGAAACGCGAUGUGAUACAAGGUGUCGAAUGGAAAGAAGAGAAGGCAGGGCUAUGGAACGUACCCGACGGACGGACGGAGAGUAACGAGACGAAUCGAAGCGUAAAAACGAGCUCUGCAACGGACAACGAAACUGAGGAAUGAAAAAUCUGGAAGGU